rnacentral:rRNA from 1 species
AUGGACGUCAAGUCGGCAUUUCUCAACGGCGACCUUAACGAGGAGGUGUACGUCACCCAGCCACCCGGGUUCGUUGCCAAGGGCCACGAGCAGGGCAUGUAUCGACUACACAAGGCCCUCUAUGGUCUCCGGCAAGCCCCAAGGGCGUGGAACGCCAAGAUCGAUGCAAGCCUUGCAUCCCUUGGGUUCUCACGUGGCGCUUCUGAGCACGGUGUGUACUCGCGUGGCACCGUGAACACGCUGCUCAUCGUCGGCAUCUACAUCGAUGACCUGGUCAUCGCUGGGGCAGAGCCCGAAGAGGUUCAACGCUUCAAGGGAGAGAUGCAUCGCUCUUCAGUAUGA